rnacentral:lncRNA from 1 species
UGGCACACCUCACCCGGUUGUUGUACCAUUUCAGGUCAGAGAACCCCGGCAAGAACUUGCUGCAGGAACACGAGGUGCUGAGCCUGUGCGGGAGCAGGACAUCAAGGGCUGCUCAAGAGCGUCCAUGGCUACAGUGACUGUGGCCUCUUCCCAGCCUCAUCUGUGCCGUGCAGGUGAUCUAUGACUCCAAGCUGGGACUGGCAGGUGAUGGUGGCCCCAGCAUCUCAGCCACGCUGCCAACAUGCUGUCAGGAGGCUUCGAGGCCAUGCCCGGUAUGCUGCCCACCUCCUUGAGACCCCUUCCUGACACUUUCCAGCCGGUGCUACAGCCGCAGCACGUGCCACCACUGAAUACCUUUCAGCAGCCGGUGCAGGCUUCAGACGGCAGGCGUGCCCGACAGCCGUGGCCUCAGCAGCUCUUUCGUGGCAACCAGGACAGUCAGGGCAGUGAUGAAGUGAUGAUGCCUAGGACGACAAGUGGGAUGGCAGCUCCGUGAUGGUGGAUGAGCCUAGUGGCGGUUCACACCUGGUCCUCAGUGGCUCCCUGAGCCCCCGUGGUGGCAACAGCUUGGCCACCAUGAGGCGCAGUCUCAACCGCUUCCCCACCUGUCAAGUCAGGCAGGGAGGCCUUGUGCUUGGCGAGGCGUUGGGCUCUGUGAAGGACGGGGACAAGCUGUGCGUGGCUCUGUGGCUCUAUGGCCUCAAGUGGCAGGAGAACCCCUACUCCUUCCAGUGCACUACCAGCGACACCGCUCAGUAGAACAAGUUCAAGGGCAUGAAUAGCGUCCUCUCCUGCAAGCUGGUGACCACGCACAGGCAGGUCCCAGUGCACGGCGCAACAAGCACUUGGACUGGCUGGAUGCGUGUCUGGUGACAUUCCUGGCUAUGUCUGUGCCCCACCUACCUGAGAAGUGGGCCACGAGCUGCUUCCAGGAGGACUUCAUCUCCAAGCACAGGUAGAGCACGAUCUGCGGGAUGAGCUACACGGCCGGCCGCCCAGUGCUGGCGCAGUGCCACGUCCUCCAGCACUUCCUGAUGUGCCUCAGCAGCACCGAGAGAAGGCCUGGAAACAAGGCAAGAGGAAGGCCUUCUGUAUGGCACAGCACCUCUUGAGGAAAGAAAAUAAGAAAACUGCCUCCGAUCCAAGCAGAGCAGGUCAGCGAGAAGGUGGGCAUCACUUGGGGGAGUGGAUGUGGGUAUCGAAGACGAACACUGGAUACGUGGCCUGGUCAUGGGAGGUGGGUGGUGCGAGAAAGGUGACAUGGUGGGUGCCAGCUCGUUCCUGACCCUGAGCACUGCACCACCACUGCCCUCGACCUGCAGGAGGUGGAGAGCAUGAUUGACAGCUUCAUAUGCUUUCUCAAGAAGGUGGAUGACGGCGCUGCUGCUCAGCCACAGGGCAUGGAGUUCACGGCAAGCAGGUGAGGGGCUUUGAGAAGGAGCAUCGGCAGGGGGCCAGCCCUCCCGCGGCCUCAGCCAGGCUUUGGAGUGGGCCCAGCAGGCCUUCUGGGUGGGCCUGAACCAGCCCAUCAACCUUCACCGGAGGUGCCUACAAUACCAUCGUCAAGCUCUUCCCAGAUUGGCCCAGACAGGACCUGGAUUCUGUCUCGGACCUGUUACUGCUGUCCAAGCAGCAACGCAUCAAAUUCCCAGACAUCCUCCACGUUCACAGAGGAGCUCUUACCAAAGUCACGGGGAGCAGGAGACUCGUGGGAGGAGGAAUGAUGGAGGUGCGGGGGCUGAUGGCGUUCAGGAGCGUGGGACACGAGUUCUUUGGCCACUUUGGCUGAAAUUCACCAUCUCCAUCCAAUUCGAGGGAGAGGUUUGAGAUCAUAGAUGCAGCACUUUUUACCAGAGCAAUACAUAUUUUUCCAAAAAUCGAUGUAGAAUUUGAAAGCAGCUCUUUAUAAAGAUGAGAGUGUUGAGUG